rnacentral:rRNA from 1 species
AAAUUGAAGAGUUUGAUCAUGGCUCAGAUUGAACGCUGGCGGCAGGCCUAACACAUGCAAGUCGAACGGUAACAGGAAGAAGCUUGCUUCUUUGCUGACGAGUGGCGGACGGGUGAGUAAUGUCUGGGAAACUGCCUGAUGGAGGGGGAUAACUACUGGAAACGGUAGCUAAUACCGCAUAACGUCGCAAGACCAAAGAGGGGGACCUUCGGGCCUCUUGCCAUCGGAUGUGCCCAGAUGGGAUUAGCUUGUUGGUGGGGUAACGGCUCACCAAGGCGACGAUCCCUAGCUGGUCUGAGAGGAUGACCAGCCACACUGGAACUGAGACACGGUCCAGACUCCUACGGGAGGCAGCAGUGGGGAAUAUUGCACAAUGGGCGCAAGCCUGAUGCAGCCAUGCCGCGUGUAUGAAGAAGGCCUUCGGGUUGUAAAGUACUU